CUGUUUUACGACAAGGAAGGCCCAGAAGCUUACGAGUAUGAAAAUGAGAGCUUGAGGAGGUUAUCGAUAACAGAGUGGUACAGAAGAUUGUUUAUUGAGACCGAUGGCGAUGCUGCAAACUAAAAUGGAACUCUCUGAAAAAGACAGCAUCAAAUGUUCAGAUGAGAACCUUACGGACGUUCCUGUGGAGAGGGUAGACACAAGGGGCCUGUGUCAGAGGAGGCCCUUUUGCAAGCAGCUUCGGAGAAGUCUUC